rnacentral:rRNA from 1 species
CCCCAGACUCCUACGGGAGGCAGCAGUGGGGAAUUUUGGACAAUGGGCGCAAGCCUGAUCCAGCUAUUCCGCGUGUGGGAUGACGGCCCUCGGGUUGUAAACCACUUUAGUAGAGAACGAAAAGGAGCUAUCGAAUAAAUAGCUCUGCUGACGGUACUCUAAGAAUAAGCACCGGCUAACUACGUGCCAGCAGCCGCGGUAAUACGGAGGGUGCAAGCGUUGUCCGGAAUCAUUGGGCGUAAAGAGUUCGUAGGCGGUAUGUUAAGUCUGGUGUUAAAUGCAGAAGCUCAACUUCUGUUCGGCACUGGAUACUGGCAAACUAGAAUGCGGUAGAGGUAAAGGGAAUUCCUGGUGUAGCGGUGAAAUGCUUAGAUAUCAGGAGGAACAUCGGUGGCGUAAGCGCUUUACUGGGCCGUAAUUGACGCUGAGGAACGAAAGCCAGGGUAGCAAAUGGGAUUAGAUACCCGGGUAC